CACUCUGCCCACAGCACACGGGAGCCUGUGUCAAGGCCUCUACGAGCUUAUAGGGCGCCCAACCCCAACUCAGUAAAUGGUGCCCUUGCAGCCCCCAUACAGUACCUGGAAGCAGGCUGCUGAAGUUGAGGAUGGAUGUCUGCUCCCUGCAAGGAAUGCUGAGCCACCAAGAGGUCUAAACUGAAUGACAACUUUCUUCAAUCGUGGGAAGGAAGGCUUGUGAAGCCUUCUUUGAGAUGGGUAGAAGAGGGAAGUAAGGAGCUGAUAAGCCAGAGGGCCAGGGAUGAGGCUUCAAUCGCCCGAAGAGGAAAGAACAGAAGCCGGUCAGGAUGUGCACGGCAGAGAAAAUCUGCAGCUGCCUGGGAGCUGCCCAGCAGAGCCCAGCGACAGAUGGGAAGGGGAGAGGAAAAGGUCACUGCAGAGUCGAGGAUGACUGGAGUGCCCUGCCUGAGGAAAGGACUGAUGGCUGUGUUCAGGUUGCCAAGGAAACAAGCCUAACCGGCAGCCAGGGAGGCUAGAGUCUCUCGCUGGGACUCUCCCACUCAGUUACGAAGCGCAGAACUGAUCUUCCACUUGUAGGUACAGUAUGCUACUCUGUGUGUCAGGGGUUUUUAUCAGCUCAAACGACCCCGCCCCCCAUUGUGCCAGAAGGCCGCAGGCUGCAAUCAGGCUUCACAAACACAAGUUUUUCAGCAUGGUUAAUGGAAACAAACAUCUGCAACACCUAAUCCAAGCCAUUCAUGGGAAAGAUAAAUAAAUAAAAAUAUUCUAACCUUUA